ACGUUUGCGCGCGCUUCCGAAAGUCUGGGCAGCCGCGGGAACUGAUGCGAGUGCCCAGAGGCCCGGGAGGAGACGCCGGGAGGCGGGGGCGGGGCCUGCGCCUCAGCAAAGGGGGAGGACUGGGACAGGUGGUGGGGACAGAGCGGGAGGAGCGGGACUUUGGCAAAGCGCGAAGCGAGGGGCCCGCAGGUAGUGGAGGCAUCUGGUGGAAUAUGGCGGGGCCUUAAACAGAGACUGAGAAGCCAGGACCCAGUGGGUGAAGCCGUAAGAGACGUGGUCUCUGGGCUCGGAGUUAGUCCGCUUCCGAGUGGGCGGGGACGUGUUAGCCCAGCAGCAUGGGGCAUCGAACUCUGGCCUCCGCCCCGGCCCUGUGGGCCUCCAUUCCGUGUCCAUUCUCCGAGCUGCGCCUGGACCUGGUUCUGGCUUCUGGCCAGUCCUUCCGGUGGAGGGAGCAAAGCCCUGCACACUGGAGUGGUGUGCUGGCGGACCAAGUGUGGACGCUGACUCAAACUGAAGAGAAGCUCUACUGCACUGUGUACCGGGGGGACGCGGGCUGGGUUGGCAGGCCCACACUGGAGGAGCUGGAGGCUGUCCGCGAUUACUUCCAGCUAGAUGUCUGCCUGGCUCAACUGUAUCACCACUGGGGUUCCGUGGACUCCCACUUCCAAGAGGUAGCUCAGAAGUUCCAAGGUGUGCGACUGCUGCGACAGGACCCCAUUGAAUGCCUUUUCUCUUUCAUCUGUUCCUCCAACAACAACAUUGCCCGCAUCACUGGCAUGGUGGAGCGGCUGUGCCAGGCCUUUGGACCUCGGCUCAUACAGCUUGAUGAUGUCACCUACCAUGGCUUCCCUAGCCUGCAGGACCUGGCUGAUCGUGGGUGUGACACACUCUUUGGAAAGAUUAAAGAACUCAAAUGGGGAGCCGAGAAGAACAGCAAGUCCUUCCCAGUCCCAGGACUAGAGUUGGGCUCCAGUGCCCAGGCCGGAGGUAGAGGCUCAUCUCAGAAAGCUGGGCCUGGGCUACCGUGCCCACUACGUGAGUGCCAGUGCCCGAGCCAUCCUGGAAGAACAGGGCGGGCUGGCCUGGCUGCAGCAGCUGCGGGAGGCCCCCUACGAGGAGGCCCACAAGGCCCUCUGUGCCCUGCCCGGGGUGGGCACCAAGGUGGCUGAUUGCAUCUGCCUGAUGGCCCUAGACAAGCCCCAGGCUGUGCCCGUGGAUGUCCACGUGUGGCAGAUCGCCCGGCGUGACUAUGGCUGGCACCCCACCACGUCCCAGGCGAAGGGCCUGAGCCCCCAGACCAACAAGGAGCUGGGAAACUUUUUCCGGAGCCUCUGGGGACCUUAUGCUGGCUGGGCCCAAGCGGUGCUGUUCAGUGCUGACCUACGCCAGUCCCACUGCGCUCAGCAGCCGCCAGCAAAGCGCAGAAAGCGGUCCAAAGGGCCUGAAGGCUAGGUGGGAGGGCACUGGGCAAAGGAAUUCUAUCCCCUUCAUUCAUUUCUCCAUCCCCAUCUAGUCUCAUCUUGGAGAGGGCCCUCCCUGCAACUACCUCAGGUGCCAGGCACCCACAAAUCAAGCAGUUUGCACAAGAUAGGGUGGGGGCUAUUUGGAGAGACAGUUAUUUAUGGUUUUAUCUUCUUCCCUUUAUUAUAAGAAGGAACAAUAAAAUAGAAACAUUUGUAUGGAAAA